rnacentral:rRNA from 1 species
UACGUAGGGGGCAAGCGUUGUCCGGAAUUAUUGGGCGUAAAGCGCGUGUAGGCGGCCAGAUAAGUCCGCUGUGAAAUCUCGAGGCUCAACUUCGAGCUGUCGGUGGAAACUGUCUGGCUAGAGUCCGGAAGAGGAGAAUGGAAUUCCUGGUGUAGCGGUGAAAUGCGCAGAUAUCAGGAGGAACACCGAUUGCGAAGGCAGCUCGCUGGGACGUGACUGACGCUGAGACGCGAAAACGUGGGGAGCAAACAGG